UACGUAGGGUGCGAGCGUUAAUCGGAAUUACUGGGCGUAAAGCGUGCGCAGGCGGUUUUGUAAGCCAGAUGUGAAAUCCCCGGGCUUAACCUGGGAAUUGCGUCCGAAACUAUGGAGCUGGAGUGUGGCAGAGGGAGGUGGAAUUCCACGUGUAGCGGUGAAAUGCGUAGAGAUGUGGAGGAACACCGAUGGCGAAGGCAGCCUCCUGGGCCAACACUGACGCUCAUGCACGAAAGCGUGGGGAGCAAACAGG
rnacentral:rRNA from 1 species